AGGUGGUCAGGUAGAGAAUACCAAGGCGCUUGAGAGAACUCGGGUGAAGGAACUAGGCAAAAUGGUGCCGUAACUUCGGGAGAAGGCACGCUGAUAUGUAGGUGAAGCGACUUGCUCGUGGAGCUGAAAUCAGUCGAAGAUACCAGCUGGCUGCAACUGUUUAUUAAAAACACAGCACUGUGCAAACACGAAAGUGGACGUAUACGGUGUGACGCCUGCCCGGUGCCGGAAGGUUAAUUGAUGGGGUCAGCGCAAGCGAAGCUCUUGAUCGAAGCC
rnacentral:rRNA from 1 species